rnacentral:rRNA from 1 species
GACGUAGGAUGCAAGCGUUGUCCGGAAUUACUGGGCGUAAAGCGCACGUAGGCGGGUUGUUAAGUCAGGGGUGAAAUCCUGGAGCUCAACUCCAGAACUGCCUUUGAUACUGGCAACCUAGAGACUGGAAGAGGUUAGUGGAAUUCCCAGUGUAGAGGUGAAAUUCGUAGAUAUCGGGAGGAACACCCGUGGCGAAGGCGGCCUGCUGGGCUGACCCUGACACUGAGGCGCGAAGGCGUGGGGAGCGAACGGG